CUUGGGUCGAUGAGGUUUGGGACGACGAUGAUGAUGAUGACGGGAAAGUACUACAUGGCUUCAAGGUCUGUUUGAAAGUGUGUAACAACGACGACAUCGCUAAUCGAUCGCGUUGCCAGAGAGAGAGAAAGUCGAGUGCUUUCUUCGAGAAGUUGAAAAAAGUUGUAUUUUUUAGAAAAUUUAAAACUUAUUUCCUUUUAUUCGAGUUAUUAGAAAAUAAAAAGGCAAAAGGGAAAUUAACAUGUUCAUUAAAUCGGGAACGGUUUCGAGUAAUGGGCCGACCAAACUAAGCCCAAACUGUACUUUUGUCCUAACAUGGUUUUAGGUUUAGGGUUUCUUGUCCCUCUCCUGUAUAUAUAUCAAUGUCUAAUUCAUAUCUCCAGAGAUAAGACGCCAAUCUUCUUCUAAUCACCUUUUAAUUGAUUUGUUCUCUCGACUCAUUCGAUUUCUUAUUUGUCAAUUAUUUUGGUUUUCAAAACGUUUUGUUAUGAAAGUGAUGAAAGUUGUAGAUAGGUGAUGAUCUUAUGAUCGAUAAAAAUUUCAACUCGCUACGUUCUUUCUGAUUCUUACCAGUUUACUAAUUUGUUUUCUUCAAAGUUCUUUUUUAUUUGCUCCCCUGCUUCACCUUUUUUGUUGAAAGUUUUGUUUUCUCUCAUGAAAAAAAAACUAACGAUUUUGACUCGGUUCAAUUGGAUUUUGCUAUUUUUGGAACAUGGUAAUGCUGGAGAAAUGAUGAUAAAUCAGUAUAAAUCUUAGGACACCUUCUGACACACCUGUGUAUGAGAAUGACGUGUUGUUCUGAUCUUCAGUUACUUUUCUUUUUCCCUUUUUGUCACCCCAGUACAUUUUUUUUGUUUGCAUAUCCUUCAAACAAUUACUUUUGUUAAUUAAAAUAGAUGUUCAUUCUUUCUUCAAUUUGUUUCUGAGAAUUUGAUAAUUCAAAUCCUAAUUGAGAGAGUAUCUAGAAGUUUUCUAAAGCCGCAGUGAGAUUAUGAUGGCAAUGUUAAUACCACCAAUAUACUAUUACCACAACAUUAAAGUUUGACUUGCACCAUAACCACUAUAAAAACAAUAUUCAAAUCUGUAUAUGUACACGGCAGAUCAAACUCUAUAAUGACACCUUAUAUAUACAAUAAUCUAACCAAACGAUCUCGGCUUGAGCCUUAAGGACCGUAAUUAUUGCGUAUAAUCCAAAUAUAUGAAUUACCAAACUCCCUUUGAGCAACUCUGCUAUUUUACUCUGGUUUCCAAGUUAGAAGACAAUGCUCAAGUUUAAUUAGUUUUAUGAUUUACUCACAUCAGUUUUGCCUUCUCGUGACUUCUUUGCUUGUCUAUUAAAUUCCUGAAGCUGUAUGUCAUGUUCUUCAAGCAUCUGAUCCACUCUGCUUGGCUGAGCCAACAAUGGUCUUGACAUGUAAAUAUUGCUGUCACUAGGAUUAUACUGUACGCAUAGAAACACAACAAUUGUAAGUUUAAAAACACAUUUUUAUCAAAUGGAAAUAAUCAAAACAGAGUUCAUUAUCUAACCCAAGCCAGGUCAACUGGUGUUGUCAUACGUCUACUAUCCAUAGUGUCAGCUCUAUUAUACACUCGUCGAUCUAUUUUUCUUUGAUCCAUAACUGGUUGAUCUAGCAAUGCUUUGGAGGAGAGUGAACUUGUUAAUAUCUUAGGGUUUACUCUAGAUGGAGGGUAUCUAGGAGCAGGUACAUUCUCUUUCACAUGGAUUGUUGACUUAGCCAUAUUCCGUUUGCUCAUGAAUGGACCCGAGUGUGAACCUCUCUCACCAGUUUGAUUGUUUCUAGUAUUCAUAUUUUGAUAACCAGGAACUUGGCCAUUAGGAGUCCUCUCCUCCUUAAACGACUUGAAACUAUCGUUUCUCCUCUUCAAAUCUAGGUAUUGUUUCUGCAUUUUGUCACAAAAAGUGAAUUGGUAGCCAUUGUGGCCUUGAAAGUUAGUUAGGACCAUAUCACAGUUACUUACCUCUAUGGUCACUGAUAGAUGAUUAGCUUUGAUAGGUGGGACAUAUUUUCUCUUGUGUGAUAUCGCCUGAGACUCUUGCCGUUCUUGUUUCUCCACCAUUUGUCGUUGCGUUUUCGCUUCAUCGCGCUCAUUAGCAUCAAUCUCUUUGCUCGGAGGAUAUUUUGGUAGACAAGAUGGAUCACAAGCAAAUGGCUUGGUUUUAAAGUACUGAAAAAAAAACAGUUGUAACCAAUGUUCAAAAAAUCACUAGGCAUAUUUAUAACCGAUAUUUUAUUAAAGAAUUAUUAGAUAACUUAUUAUAUAUUUUGUAUUUAUAUCUGAUAUUUUAUUUUUUGAGGUUUAAUUAUAAAAAUAUUUUAACAAAUUGUAUUUUUUUUUAAAUAGACAUAACUUGUGGACUUUCAUUAACCUUGUUGUUUGAUUUAAAAUAAUUUAGACUGAUUUGAACCAAUUUGAGAUAGAUUAAACCAGUUGAGCUAUUUAUAUUGGAUUUUGAAAAAAAAAAAUCAUUUCGGCUAUGAUCAAUUUGCCGUUUAAACCGAUUUCUUAGAACCGUGGUUGUAACUAACGAUGCAUACCAAGAAGAGAGUAAAACGUCAGGCACAAGUUACCUCACUUUCAAGGGCACUAUCUGCAGAGUUCCGGUGAUCAGGGUCUAUAGAGAGCAAAGUCUCUAAAAGCAAAAGAACACUCGUGGGAAAGUCCUUAAACAUCUCUGAUAGUUUCCGCCUAUAAGGAACCCUACUUCUGAAUCCAGCUGAAGACGGUAAGUUAUGUUUUCUCCAGUAACUUUCAGUUGGUGAACCACAUAGCUUAAAGAUUUUAUGCAACUGUUCUACCUAUAAAGAACAAGUGAUGAGUAACUUCAAAAACAUGCAACCACCAAUGCGUAGUAAGCAAUGAAUGUGCAUUUACCUCGGUUUUUCCUGGUAGGAUCGGUUUACCAGCGUAUAAUUCACCUAAGAUGCAACCUGUGCUCCAAAGAUCAACUCCAACACCGUAAUGAGAAGCUCCAAGCAAAAGCUCUGGUGGUCGGUACCAAAGAGUGACAACAUGGCUAGUCAAUGGUAUAGUUUUGGCAGGGUCGAAGAAAGUUGCUAACCCGAAGUCUGCUAUCUUCAAGACUCCAUUACGGUCGAUCAGAAGAUUUGAGCCUUUUAUAUCUCGAUGAAGAACACCACGGCUGUGACAAUGUUCAAGCCCACUUAGAAGUUGUUGCAUGUAACAUUUAACCUAGAAACAUAAGAGUAAUAAUACCUUUAAAUAGCACCAAAUUAUGUUUCUAUGGUAAGAUUAGCAUAUAAGAAAAAAAAUUCUAAAAAUAGCAUUAACUAAAAGUUAAAAUAUAUUUUAUUUUAUAUCUGGAUUUGACUUUAGUGAAAUUCAUGGUUAGUAUAUAGGGAUAGGAGAGGUGGGAUUAUGUUCUAGAAACUAGAAUAAUUUAAUAUUUUUCAUGUUAAAUCAAUGCUAUUUUGAGAAUUUGUUUAUUCAGUGUUAUUUUAAAAAACUUUUAAAAUGUGCUAUUUUUGACAUGUUGGAGUAAGCAAGCAUUUACGUGCAAUAGUAGUAGUACCUGAGGCUCUGAGAACUUAACACCGGGUAGUGAAGAAAGUCCUAAGAGAUCAUGAUCCAUGUACUCGAAUACUAAGUAGAGUGAUGAUGAAACAUGGUCAGUGAUCAAUGCUUCUAGUUUCAGGACAUUAGGAUGAUCAAGCCGUCGCAUUACUAUGAUCUCUCUCGCCAUAAACUUGACACUUUCUAUGUCAUUAAGAUCAAACCUGACUUUUUUAAGCGCAACGAUCUUGUUAUGAAUAAGAUCACGUGCCCUGUAGACGCUGCUAUAUGUUCCUUGACCAAUCUGUAUGCACAAGAUUAUGUUUAACUAAACAUGGGUCUGGAUUAAAGAGAGUUUGUAAUAAAAGAAACUUACUUUCUCAAGUUUCUCAAAGGUGCUUGCUCGACGUGGAGCCCAGUCUACUAACGCCUCACCAGCAACAGAGACUAGCCAAGUAGGCCAUGCCUGCUUCAACUCUAUGUCUCUUGAAACGAUAAGACUCUGGUUCUUUUUCACUUCCCAAGGAACAGCUUGAACCGAAGCUUCAGCCCCAAGAUUCUCUGGUUCCUUCUCAACAUGAUGAUGAUCAGAAAACCUUUUGGAACUCAACUUUUGAGACUCAACCAACCGAACUUUGGAGUCGUUGCUAUUCCAUUGGUCUAGCUUCUGUUUUAAAACAUUCGGACCAAUCUCCAAAUCAUGUUUUACAACAUCACUCAAGCCCCUUGUCAAUUCCUGAUCAUGAUCCAUAUGAACUUUGGAAUCUCUGCUAUUCCAUCGAUCUAGCUUCGGUUUCGUAACAUUCGGACCAAUCUCCAAGUCAGGUUCUACCACAGCACUCGAGGCCCUUGCCAACUCCUGAUCAUGAACAGCUUGAACCACAUGAUCAACUAUCUCAGGAUGAUCAUUAAACCUAGUGGAACUUAACGUUUCGGAGUCAACCAACUUAUCUUUGGCUUCUCCCCUGCUACUCGAUCUAUCAAACCCAUCUCCCUGUUGAAUCCCAUCAUCUAUCCUCGGAGAAUCAAUCGCCGAGGAACGUUUCACGGAUGACUCCUUCAGUGUCGAUUUUCUUCUGAAAAGCCUAUGUUUAGAACUUACGCAACCCAUGGUAAAAGAUACCCUGAAGAGAUAAAAAAGAGAUCAGAAUGAUUCAAAACCCAAAAAUCUAAGACAAGAGAUUCAAACAGAGACAUUACCUGGAUGCUUGAACGUUCAAAGAGGGAACAAAGAGAAAAAUCUAUGCAUAAGGAGAGAUCUUUAUUGUUGUUGUUACAUGUUUGACUGAUUAAACGCAUACGUAGAGCCAGUCGGUCACAUCAUCGGACGGUAUAAAUUAAUUAUAAACAAACAUCUACUAGAUAAAUGUCAGCCGCCUUUGGUCAACGAGAUAGAUCCUUUUCCACAUUAUCUGUCUCUCCUCACUCCUGUAACUAUUUUAUAAUUUGUCUUGAGAAAUUUCGGUUUAUAUGAUUGGAAAGUGAGUGAUAAUUGAUUUUUGAAAAGGUUUGGUAGCAUGGUAAAAUUGUUUUGGUCAAGGUAGGCUGUUCGAAAAAAGUCAACGUAGAUGCUAUUUAAAAGUACGAUUAAUUUAAAAGAAAAUAAUACUCCUCUCAAGUCUUGGUCCCCGCUUGCAAUUGCAAGACUACUUGUUUUGACCAAGUUCUUUUGUUUAACUUACUCCAACUAAAUCGUUUGUUUAACCAUAUAAAAGUUCACAAGUUAUCUAAAUAGUACGUUCUAUCUUUAAUUAAGUUCUCGGAAUUUAUACCUAAACAAUAUAAUGAAAAUAGUGAAACUAAUGAAGACAAAUGAAUAUCAAGAACAAGAAGGAUAGUAGACCUAGGCACGGAUCGGAUAUCCAGAUUUUUGAAAGUAUUUGUGAUUUGCUUCGUACGCUACGGAUAUCUAAUUUUUUGAUUUGAUUUGUUUCGGAAAAAUACAGAUAUUCGGAAAAAUACAUAUACAGAAAAUAAAUAGAUAUUUGCGGAUAUUUACGAAUACUUACAGAUAUUUCAAAUGUUUUGAUUAAUGCAAAUAAUCUUAAAAAUUUAAUAUAAAUUUGUUUUAUAAAAUAUUUUUUGCAUGAUAUAUAAGAUAAAAAUUAAAAGAAAUAAUUUACGUAUUUUAUAAUUUUUUUAAACUUAGUUAACAAUUAUAAUAAGACAAAACUUUAAAAAAAAUUAUAGUUGUCAUAAAUUUAUUCAUUUCCUUUUAUGUAAUAUUUUUAUAUAAGUAAUAAUGUGAAUAGAAUUUGUCAAAUCACAUGUUAGAAUAACAAUGAUAUAAUUUUAUAUAUUUAAAACUUUAAAUAUAAUCAAGAUAUACAUGUAUUUAUAUAUUACCAGAUCGGAUAUACGAUUCCUAAAAUUUUAAUAUUUGUGAUUUGCUUCGAUUUUAAUGGAUAUUGAUUUUUAAUAUUUGUUUUACCUCAAAUAUUUAUGGAUAUCCGGAAUUUUUGAAUCGAAACGAAUAACGAAUCGAAUCAAAUUUAACGGAUAAAAUGUCCAACCUUAAAUGAUAGUUAAUAAGAAGCUAAAUACGAAUACGAAAGAAGUCAGAAUUAUGAUUCGGAAGAUACUGUUUGACUGAGACAUAGGGAAGAUUACUAAAAUAACACACAUUUUAUGAGUAAUGACUAGAAUAACAUACUUUUUUUUUUAAUUACUAGACUAUUUUUUAUGCCCAGAAUGUCCUUGUUUUCUUUGUUAACAAAAAAGAAAAUUUACAAAAAAAAAAUUUACAGAAAAAAAAUAUUUUCGAAAUAUAUAAAUAAGUCUACUAUUAAAACUCUGUGACAUGUAAUGGCAGUUUUAUUAGUACGUGACAGAUUAAUAUUUUUCAACAAACUUAUUGUGGCAGAUUUUAUAUCGUUAAAGACUUUCUGAAAAAGUCUACCACACAUUAUGGUAGAUUUAAUUUCAAUAGCAAAUUUGUUUUUAAAUGCCAGGUUUUUAUAGCAGAUUUUUGUCUUUUGAUGGCAGCUUUAUAAUAUUUCGAAGACUUUCAUAAUCGCACACAUAUUUUUCUCACAUACUUUUUAUAAUUUGGCAGAUUUUUGUGUUCAUGAGAUCGCAGACUUAUAUUUUAUGUAUGCUAAGCUGCAGACUUAUAAACUAACAAAAGUAACUUUUAUGUGAUGGCAGACUUUAACAUACGUUAUGGCAGACUUUGAAGGAGUUAUAUGUUAUAGCAGACUUAUUCGCGAAAAUCGGUUUACUAAUUAGAUUUAGAUCAAUUCUGGGUUACUAAUUAAACCAAAAAAUUCGACCACUAACCGGAACAGUUAUGAAAACCUAGGUUUAGCCGUAGUCAGUUCUUUCUUCUCCAAGUAACGAUGUCUUGUUUUUGACAAUAGAUUCUUUCAUGUUAAUCCCAAGAAAUUCAAUGAUGGAUGUUAUAGUUGUUUGUGGCCAGUGGUUAUUCGAGAAUGAUAAAUGGAUGUUUCACGUUGAUAGCAGAAGAGGAAGCAAAGUAAUUCCAGUGAAUGACGACACAAACUUGGAAGAUAUGAUUAACAUGGUUUAUGAGGACUACGACUUAGACAGAGGCCAUGUUAAUCUCGAAUUGAGUUACAUGCUUAGCAGGAAAAGCUUGAUGAAGCUAACUCAUGACACACCUCCAGUUAAAAUUGGGAAUUUUCGACAAUUUCAAGGUUUCAUCCGUCUCCGAAAGUCUGACCAAGUCCGUCUAUGUGUGGAAGUCUCUCUAAGAAGCAACAAGAAAACGAAAAAGACACAGACACUGAUGGAAAACCAAUCUGAUUAUAAUCAUGAUGAAGACACAGACACUGACGGAGAACGAUUUGACUAUUGCGAUGAUUCAGAUGGUGCUACAUCAGAUGACGAGGACUUUAUAGGGUACGGAUUAACUCCAAAAUUAGAUAUAGAGAUGAAGAAGGAGUAUAAGCCAAAGAUUGGGUCAGCAACAAAAUCGAAAAAGGCUAAGGUAGUCACUCAUGUUAGGCAACAACUGGAUUCUAUAGAUAUAGUUGUUGGCCAAAGUUUUGACUCCAAGUCUUCAUUAACAACACGACUUAAGAUCUUGACGAUAGUGCAAAAAUUUGAUUAUGAUGUUGAGUACUCAACGCCGACUCUUCUAAUCGUAAAGUGUUGGAUUGAAGGCUGUAGUUGGAAGUUAAGAGCAUCACCAACAAGUGAUAGUCCUCGCUUUACCGUACGCAUCUAUGUUUCUGAACAUACUUGUUCAGUUACAGAACGAUCAGCUCGUUGCAGACAAGCAACACCUGAGAGUGGCUACCAUGAGUUACCUGUGUAUCUGCACAUGAUUAGAGAAGCCAAUCCUGGGACAUUCACUCGCCUUGUAGUAGAUUCUAGUGACAGAUUUAAGUACCUUUUCAUUGCAUUUGGUGCUAGCAUCAAGGGCUUUCCAUUCAUGAGGAAGGUUGUUGUGGUCGAUGGCACAUUCUUGCAAGGCAAGUACAAAGGAACUCUACUAAUUGCGUCAUCACAAGAUGGCAACUUCCAGAUAUUUCCAAUUGCAUUUGCGAUAGUCGAUACUGAAAACGAUGAAUCAUGGAAAUGGUUUUUCAAGCAACUCAGCUGUGUGAUACCAGAUGACGAAAGACUUGCUAUUAUUUCUGAUAGACACAAAUCAAUUGGCAAUGCAAUAUCCGAGGUCUAUCCAUCUGCUAGCCGUGGAGUUUGUACUUACCACUUGUAUAAGAAUGUCUUGUUAAAGUUUAGAGGUCGCGAGUUGUUUGGUUUGGUUAAAAAGGCAGCUAAUUCAUUCAGGCUUUCAGAUUUUGAGACCAUAUUUGAUGAGAUCAAAGCAAUGCACCCGGCUCUGCAUCGCUAUUUGCAGAAAGCAGAUGUAAGGAAGUGGGCACGAGCUCAUUUCCCUGGUGAUAGGUACAACUUGACUACAACCAACAUAGCUGAAUCUAUAAACAAAGUGCUUUCAGAAGCAAGAAACUUGCCGGUUGUAAGACUUUUAGAAGCAAUAAGGCUAAUGAUGACACGAUGGUUUUCGGCACGGAAGAAUGAUGCAUAUUUGAUGAAAACAAUUCUAACUCGUGGAGUUGAGAAGCUUUUAGAGGUACACUUGAGUUCCUAUAACACAUGAAUAUUUUAUGAACACGAAACUAAUGUUGCAAACAUACUUUCACAGGGAAACUUGCCGGUUGUAAGUAGAUAACUAAUCCGAAAACAUGAAAAUACUACAGACCCGAGACCUCAUCAUAGAUCUCAGCAGCUAACUUAAUACGCAUUGCCGGAAUGCACUGGUCAGAAAGUCCUUCAAAACCACAGCCAACUGCCUUACACUCUAUAUACUUCAGAGCGUAAACACCACAAUCCCCAGGGGCUUCAUUCUUAGGCACACUUUUAGGUCUUGAAAUCCUGAACUGUUGUGAACUCUUCUUUCUUUCUGGAACCAUUUCAUUCAGCAAUAACGGAAUCAUCUUCGUGAAAGGACGACACUCUUCUAGAAGAUCUGUGAUGCUCGGGACAACUGUCUGUAUGCUGUCGUAGACAUGAAUUAUUUUCUUGUCAAGAUCCACUUCUAAAGCGACCCAGUGGUUACCAUUGAUCAAGUGGCAAAGAAACAACCGAUCAACAUCCUUCAGCCACUUUCUGUUGUUGGAAAACUCUUCAGGAUAAUUGCCAUUGAAGACCUUCUUGUACGUAUCUGAGAACUUCCAUGUCUUAGGAUCGUAUUUCUUGUAGUCUCUGACCCACGUAUUGACAAACCAGUGGUCAAGAAAAGCUAUCCUUGAUGAGUAUGGUGAAGGGUUCCUCAUAGAUCUUUUAUGAAACAUAAGCAUUGCAGAUGCCAUAUGCUGUCAACCAAAAAAAAUAGAGUGUAUGUUAGCUACUCGGAAUCAUGUUGAUACAAGAAAAAAAUGAAAAACUUACAGAAUCUGUUAGCCACCCACACUCAUCUGUUUUCCAGAGUUUUCUUGGCGUUAUUAGCUUCAUGUAGAAGUGAGUGUCUACAUCGUUAUCACCACUGAAAUGAAUGAAAAACAAGCUCAAGUUAGUCUAACAGUUUGAAUUAUGAAAAAAAAAAAAAGACAUGUUACUUAUUACACUUACGCAAUACUUCGUAGAUAAUCCAUUAGCUUCUGAAAUUUUGCCUCCUCAACUUUAGUUAAGGGAUCACAGUCGGCUAUACUCUCAGAAUCGCCUGUUAUGAUCCUCUUCACAGUUGAGUUACCAACAUAUGGAUACACUUGAGUCUUAGUCAGUUGUGGCUUGCGUUUAUGCAAAGGUCCUUCUAAAAGUGAUGCCGCUAACUGGUCUAACGUGGUACCUAGGAUGUCAUAUUUUUGCUUAUCUUCUAAAUCAGACCAUGUUUCAGCAGAAUCUCUAAGUUGUGGAACUGCAUUCUUCUCCUUCUUAACGUUUAUCAAACCUCCAGCAGGUUCUUUUACUUGAUUUUUUCUAGUAACCUUCCCUCCAACAGUGUCAAGUAGAAUAGGAGACGUUAGCUUGACCUCGGAUUUCUUGGCUUUCUUUCUAACCACACACUGCACUGCCGCAUCUACAUCAAAUGGUGUCUUGUCUUGGACCAUCCAUGACUAUUUGAGUAUGUCAAAACCAAUUUCAAGUUAAUUUCGAAUCUAAAGUUACUUUAACCUAAAAUAGACAUACUCAUAAGUGAAGCAAAAGACUAACCGGGUCAUUGCUGUUGACUUCAUCUUCUUGGUUUACAAUGUGUCCAUCAUUUUUGGGGGCAGUUUCUUGCAUCUGCUCUGUAAUUUUAGCAACUUGUUCUUGUAAUGCUAAGAUUUGACUGCCAAGUACCUGCUCGGCUUGAGCAACUCUUGCAUUUACUUUUGCUUCAAUCUUUGUGUCUAAUGUAGUCAACACCUUCUCAGCAACAACUGUGUCCACAUUUUGAACCGUUGCAGUCAAUGUCUUCACUGCUUCCAUUAGAUCAUGCCUGAAUCCAUCAUCUCCACCUGAGUUAAGGCUGGAUCCACAGUCCUGCCAUAAAACAGUAAACGAACUCAACAAUAAACUCAAGUAAAAAAUAAAGUACUUUCAGCACGGCUUCACAAACUAGACUAAUCAAUACAUACAAGUAAACAAUCUUACAAGUAAACAAUCAAGCAUACUCACUGUGAUUUUCCUCUUCGCUGAAUUUUUUUUCUUCAUGCAAUGAUCUUCUUCAGUCACUAAAUUCCUUUGCUUUUUGAUUGCUACUGGUUCAUUAGUUGCCUUCAAGCUCCAGUACUUAUCAUCAAGCUGGUCAUGUAGAAUGUCUAAAAUCAAGUUAUGAAGAUCAUCAUCAACCUUGUCAUCAUCCCAUUGAGGAUAUAUGUCCGAUUCUGCCUUAACAAUGAGAUGUCUGACACGCACCUACCAAUCAAGUCAUGUAAAAAACAUUAGUAUGAAUACAUUUACAAGUGAUAUCUUUUAAUAAGAGUUAACAAUAAUGUAAGAAACUACCUUCUGGUGAGCUUUUUUCUCUUUUUUAUAAAACAAAUCCCACUGUAUACGGGGACGGGAUGCAGACCAAGAGAGAAGAGGAACUUGGUUACCCUCAAUAUGGUUCCCAUAUUCAUGCCCAAUGCCAGGUAUUGAUUCAUACACCCAGAUGAGAAGAGCAUGAACACAUCCACGAAGUGUAUAUUUCUUCUUUCCUUCAUAUGAAACAAGCUUAACUGAAUUAACGAGGCUGGAAAAUCCGACACGCCCCCAAGGAUAUCUUUCAAAAGCUUCUGCGUCUAGGACUCUCUUCGCUUCUUCUAAAGGAAUUCUGCUACCAGGAGAGAUGCCUAAUAUGCCAAUCGAUAAGACACAAAGCCAGCCAAUCAUUCUUCUCUUCUCAAAUGACCAAUUCCUAAUGCGAGGAAACAAUUCGCGCAACUCAGAUAACAUUGGACCAUGUGAAGGAGACACACCCAUCUCUUCCCAAAACGCCUUAUGAUCAACCUCCACCUUAUCAUUAAUGUCGAAAGGGUCGCAAUUCAAACCUGUUAUUUCACCAAACUCAUAUAGCGAAAACCUGAUUGGCUGUCCUUCUAUUGCAGACCAUAGCUCAUGAAGAUUAUCCACGACCAGUUGGUUUGCCAGCAAAUGGUGAACGACUUGGGCUGACCAUGUAUAAUCCAUCUCUUUCAACCUUAUAAUAACUCCAACAGAAGAUGCCUUAAUGGAUUCCCACGCAUCCAAACCAACAGAUUCCUCCACCAUCUGCAAACCAGCCAAGUGACAGUUAUGAUUCAUUGAUCGAUAUUGCAGUGGACAUUUUCCCUCUUCAUAAAGUCUUUCUGGAUAUUUUUUGUGGGUGCUUGAUGUAGUCAUAUCUCUGUAAAUAAUGAACAAUGAAGUAAGGGACACACAAGUUUUAUAUUUCAAGAAAUCCAAUUAUAAAAAACCCAAAAAACUAAGAAAGAGACUAAACCUUGAUGCCACGAUUUCUUGGUCAAUUGAAUAGCUUCAAGAGGAGAUGAGGUUGUAUCUAAAGAAACAACUGAGAAAACGUAAAUAAAGCUACGACCUUCGACGAAACUUUGAACUUUAGAAAGGGGAUUUAGGGUUCGUCGGCCGAGUGGAUGAGGAAUCGAAGGCUUUUAGUGGUAGAGUAGAGUGUCGACAUGACCCAAUCGAUGAGGAAUCAUCUUAAUAAGAAAGUGAAUCGAAAUUUUGAGGAUUACACAAUUUGGGGAUUUAGGGUUCUUGGGGAGGAGGGUCACGGGAAAGAGAAAGUGUCGUGGGGGAGAAAAUGUUUUUUUUUUUUACCUUUUUUGUUCAACCAAAGCUUCUACUUUAUCUAGAGUCUUUCAUUUUCUGAAUUAAAAAGUUAUAUUAUGUUUAAAUAUAUUUCUUGAUUGGGUAUUUUGGACAUUAACUCACUUUUUUCUUCUUUCUUUGUUUUGGUAUGUUAUUCUAGUCAUUACUCAUAAAAUGUGUGUUAUUCUAAGUAAUUUCCCAUAAAAAUAUCAAGUUGCCAAACACAAAUACGUAAACGCUUGUUUUUGUAUGUACAUAUAGUCUUUACAAUACCUAGGAAAUAUAUUUUUAAUCUACUGGCUCACACGACCGCACGAUGUCUUUAGAUAAUGACCAACUCAUUUACUUUUUAUUGACAACAAACACUUGCUUCAGAGAAAACUAAUCUGUCUUACUGUAUAUGUUACACUUGCUCAGCUAUCAUGGUUACAUAUUUGUUCAGUUGAAGCAUGGUUAUGGCCUUAUGGGUACACCCACUGGAGUCUCUAUAUGGCUCGGUAGCCUCGGUUAAAAGACAAAUUUGAUUUGUGAAGCAAGGGAAGCCGAAGCCGUCUCUAUAGUAAUCUCUGAAAAAUCAGCAUGGCAAUUGUGUAGUGACGACGAGGAAAUGCAUCACCAUUGAGUAGGUUCCUCUCUUGGCCAUCUUGAUUCUUGACAGAUAAUUUAAACCCCAAUUAAGCUUAGUUAAUCUGCUUCUUCCUCUCUAACCUAUAUAUUGUACGUUGUGGUAAUGCACGAAAGAAAUUGAAGACACUCGCAUUGAUAUCCGCAACACCAUGUCGUAUUCUUCUCCUUUGUGUCAAAUGCAUUACGGAUAAUAUAUAAUAUAUCAUGGUUUCCAUCUUGAAAUACACAAUUACAGAUUCUCAACUUGUAUGAAUAGCUAGUGUUUGAUCUUAUGCUGAUAAAUAUUUUCAUUAAUAUAAAAUAUGGCUUGAGCGGUAAUCGUUAAGAAGUAUCGUCCUGUUCUUUCUCAUCUUCUAAUUAAGACUUCAAAAGAAAUUAUAUAAACAUAAAAAGAAAUGACUUCUCUAAGUCUUAAAUUACUUAAUUAUCAUUAAAGAUAGAUGAUUCGUCCUUCUUUUUUUGUUCUUGUCGGCUAACAUAAGCUUAGAGGCCCUAUUAAUUGAGACAAACCACAAUUUUUUAAAGAAAGACAAAACGCAUUUGUUUGCUUGUUUAUUCCUAACUUCAUAUACGACUAAACCAAAAGAAUCUACUUACGUCGUCUUAAACAUAUUUAUGGGAAAAUUACCUUACACAGGAAUUGUCUUUCUUCAUAAAUUCCGGAGAGGAAAAAUAAACAAAGAAGGAAUACAUUUUUAUUUUUGGUAAACAGUUAUUUAUACUUAUCUAGUUUGUGACAUUAAUGGAAAUUAGAUAUAUAGGUUUCGAAUGUUAUGAACCGCUCCCCGCCUUGCACCGCAGUUAAGAGUAACAAAUUUUUUUAUUUAUAUCAUACACCUAUACAUUUUUAUAACUGUUAAAAUUGCACCGCAGUUAAACCGUCCCGCACCGCUCAAACCACAAUUACCGUUUGGAGCCACGCCUCUAUCAGUUCACGCAUUUUUCAUGCAAUAUGCAUUUGUUCUCAGUUUCCAUAUAUGGAUUAUCGUGAAAUCGGGAAAUAAAUAAAGGAAACUGUAAGCGCGUGUUCUCCACUAGAAACCUCCAAAGCGACGAGUGUAAAUCACGCUCUUUGAUGUGAGAGUGAAACUCACGAGGACUACUAAUCUAUUUCCUCCAAAUCAGAAGACUUUUCUCCAAAUCUUUCCUUUCUUCUUUUCUCUUUCAGCUUCAGACAAAUCCCAAAUCACGGAGAUUUCAAUUUCAGACAAGAGUACAAAGUCCCCUCUCAAGAAAAAAAAAAAUAACACACUCAGAUCUCCAGAUGGUGGAUUCUCCAAGAGCAUCGAGUUCAUCUUCUUCGUUACCUCCUCCAAGAUCGUACCUCAUCUUUAUGCGAAUCAUGAGCAAGAGAAGGACAUGGGUCUGUCUCUUCGUCGCCGUCUACGCCAUUCUCCUGUCCUCCUCGUGGAACUUCUUGAGAUCCGUGCUCAGCUGGUACAAGCUCCAGUACACGUCGUCGCCUUCGCCGCCGUCUCGAAUACCGGCGGUUUACGCUUCUGUGGUGCUGGGAGCAGUGUUCGGGGCGAUGUCGAUGGUUGCGGCGGCGGCGGUGGCUGUUCCGGCGGUUAUGGUGAUAUGGAUAUCGGUGGUUGUGUUGCUAGCUUUCUUUGGGAAGUCGAGGAGAGAUUUGGUUGUUGAGGCUCGGAAGAUUACGAGAGAAGUGUUUGGGUUUGUGUUUAAGGUUCUUUUGAAAGAGGGCAAUGCUGUUGCUGCGGUUUGUGCUGUUUUGGGUUAUUUUCUUCUUAUUAGAAAGGAUUUUGAUUCUGUUUAAGUGUUUAUUUAGAAGGGUUUUUUUCUUGGAAUCUGACGAUUUUUAUGAUGAAACUUUGGUUCCCAUUUUGUUUCUUGUUUAACCUUUUGUUAAUGAAGUAAUUAGCAAUGUUUAUGUACAUUUUGUGACCAUAUAACAGGAGAUGUUCACGAAAUCAUUAUUUUCUUGAAAUCGUGUGAAGUUGUUAAAGAUUUUGAGUAACUGUUCAGCAUGUUUGCUUGCUUUGUUUUGUUGGGUAAGGUUCAUGGUUAGACCGUCCUUGUACCCCAACAAACCAAAUCGAACCGAGACAAAAAGAAUUUAAUUUGAUUAUAUAGUUGUAAGUUAUUUAUAACAUUUCAUAAUAAAAAAGAAAUUCCAUUGUUGUAUUAAAGAUAAAUCUUCAUGGAGCAAAAUGUUUGUUUUGGAGUGAGGUGUUGCACUAACUUGGGUGAGUGUUGCUCAUGAUCACUGUUACACUUCAGUAAUGCAUCAACCAUUAGAACUUACAUGAAGGCAUCAUAAUCUUUGUAUCUGAUGUAAUCAAAGCCCUGCCCGGAAUCUAUCAUGUGUCCUUACUGGUUGCGUUGUUAGCAAAUGUUGAUGGUGUUUCUCACUUUACGAGUUAUGGACCUGCCCAUUCUUAAGCGUCGUCCUGUUAGCGAGUCCAGAAGUACGACCAAGGCUUCCUCGACUGCAUCGGCUUGUUUGUCUAAACCGUAGCUGCUUAACUGUGGGAGAAGGCUCAGCUCAGAGAGGAGUCCGAUUGCUGCUGCUGCGGUGCAAGUCCGGUCCCAUGAUGGUUGUGGUCUGUAGAGUAAAAGAUAUUCUGAGUUUUGGAACUGUAACAUGAGUAAUAUAGAGAUUUGAGAAUGUUGUUACCUGAGUUUGUGCAUUGCUGAUGCACCGGUUGCAAGAGAUAUGCAAGGAAGAUCUUCAUCUCCCCAUACUGUCUUUGCAUGAUCCUACACAUAUGGGUCUUAGUGCAUUAGCAAAAGGACAAAGAUGACCUCCAUGGGACCUAUAGUCAAUUGCAAAGGUUAAUAAUACCUUCAGACGCUUAAGCAUUGCAGCUGAAUUGUUCCAGGUGCCAUCAAGCAAAAUGAAAUGCAAAGUUGAAUCCUCAUAUCCCUGGGAAAUAGAAAGUGUAGCGAUCAAUGAAUACAUUUUCAUUCUAUAUCCUUGUCGAACUUUUAUGUUGAACAUAAGCAUAAGAGUAUAAGACUAAAGAACAGAGACACUAUACAUAAACAAUGAUAUUGCAAUCAUUACCAUGGAUGAUCCAGGAUUCUCUGAAGUUGAAUCACCAAAAGCGUUUUCAACAGACAACGUGAGUUCCGAGUUCUGGUUGGGAUAAAGGCAACGGACAUGGCUUUUUCCUGAACAUCCAUCACAAAAAAAAAAGCUUUUAGCAAAACCAGUUAUUUAUAAAUAAAUGCAACUGAACUUGCAGGGAUCCAAGACUAGUAGAAUCAAACACCUGCACGCUUAAACUCAUCCCACAUGAUCUCUUCAUCUUCAGCUAUUCCAAAGAUGCAAAGUGAAGCAGAGUGUACACCAAAUACUUGCCACAACAAUUUCCCUGUGUUGUUCUGCCGCAGAAAAUCCUGUUAACAGCAUAACAUCUUCUCAAUACAUAGUAAUACCAACUCAAAACGAAUAAGGGAGACCGAUACUAACCCUAGGAUGCAUAUAGAGCCAAAACCGUAUACUUUUCCAUAAACCACAGGGCUUGAUGUUAGAACACAUGCAAUCCUCCAUAGCAAGCCAACACUGCAAACACAAAAUCAGUAAAAAUUGAGUUCAUAUUCAUGGAACUAGAAUCACAAAGCAAAUGAAGAAGACUAAAAGUGAAAUUACCUUCUGGCACAAAUAACCUCUGCUCCCAAGCAGCCUACAAGCAACUUGCCGAGCAGAGAAAAAACGAAACUUCUUCUCAGGGUCAUCUAAUGCUUCAUAUGUAGCCCUAUGCUUCUUAUCCUCAUACGCACCAAACGCUCCCUGAGAUAGAGUUUCAACACAAGUAUAAUAUUAAUAACCUAUCCAACAUUUAAGAGAGCACACAUUGUUAAGAGAAAUGUAGAACAAAUCAAUUAAACGUUCAUUGAUGAUGAUAAGAAUUAUGUUACAAGCUUGAGUGAGCUCUUGUGAAUCUAAUCUCUAGACACCUUCCUAAAGCACAAACGCAUACUAUAUUCUUAAGUCACUUAUCUUCUAGAAGCAUUCUCCCACGUCACUGUCUUCUAGAAGCUCAAACCAAAACGGCUUUUGGAUCAGCUCCACACCUUAACUUACUAAUUUAAAACACAAAACGAUUUGAAAUGAACCAAAGCGACAACGUUUCAUCAUCAUCAUCGGCGGCUAACUCUACCUGUAACUUGCCACCAUUUCCACCGAACUCAAUCUGCGCAUCCACCUUAAGCUCAAGAACCUUCAGAUCAUUCACAAUCUGUUUGACCGCCGCUGGUAACGGAGAAACCGCUCCCCAUCUCCGCCACUCCUCUUCCGUGACGACUCCGUCGUCGCAACAGCCUGAUUCCCUGGAACGAGCUUGCGAGCUAACGGAAUUCAUAACUAAUCUCCGGCCAAUGCCUCCAAGUUGACGGCGGCGGAUGCGGUAGCUAGAGAGUAGAGAAGGAGAGGAGAAGUCGAGCGCAGAAGAAGCUCCGGCCAAACAACGCAUCGUGUUCAACUUUGGGUUUAUCGAGGAAUAAAGUUUCAUCGUUUAACGAAACCAAGGCCCAAUGGGCUUAUAACAUUAUUUAUUUAAUAUUCAGAUCAUUAUUUUUUUCGUUUGUUAUCUUCUUCACAUAUUAUUCUUUUCCUGGAUAUUAUUACAUUUGAGGUCUGAGAAGAAUCUCAGGAACAGAACCUAUUGUGUGUGUUUCUUGUUUCUCUCUCUCUCUACAAUGGCUGCUUUCGCGUGUACUACUCGUCCGCCGAUUUCUCUCCGGUCAGAGAUGAGGAUCGCAUCCUCAACGAAAGUUUCACUCUCCACUCGACAAAUGUUCUCCGUGGGAGGAUUGAGGACUCGCGUCUCUCUAUCAUCGGUCUCCAAGAAUUCUAGCGCUUCUCGAUUACGACGACGAGGAGGGAUCAUCAUCUGUGAAGCUCAGGACACUGCUACAGGGAGUAUGUUUGUUAUCUCUCAUAAUGCGUUUGUUUUGGUUGAAGAUUCUCAAGUGUUGAACUUUCUAUCGAAUUGCAGACAUUUGAGUUAUAAAAUUGGAGAAAGUUUGCAUCUUUGGAUCUAAUGUUGAAGUAGAUAUGUAAACUGAGAUGUUUGCUUAUUGUAUAGCACUCACAUACUGAUUCAAGGAGUAGUUUAGCUUUGAUUGUUUGGUUGGUUAAUGACAUGGCUAAAGAAUCAUCACUUGCUGAUAAUUGUAGCUUUAAUCUUACAGAGAGCCUUAUCGUUUAGUUAAUGCCGCUUUGAAUCACUGUACUUUUUACUUGUUUGCAAAAAACCAACUUCAAAUGGUCGUUAUGUAAACAUUAUUUCGUUAUCCCUUCAUUGUUUGUUUGCUUUGGACCAUAAUGACCAUUUGAAGUUGGUUUUUGUUAUUGUGUCUUUGCAGUUCCAAUGGUGAACGAUUCAACAUGGGAGUCUCUAGUACUCAAGGCUGAUGAGCCUGUUGUUGUGGACUUUUGGGCACCAUGGUGUGGACCCUGCAAAAUGAUUGAUCCCAUUGUCAACGAACUAGCACAGCAGUACACUGGGAAGAUCAAGUUCUUCAAACUAAACACUGACGAUUCUCCGGCGACCCCGGGAAAGUACGGUGUGAGAAGCAUACCAACCAUCAUGAUCUUCGUUAAGGGAGAGAAGAAGGAUACGAUCAUCGGUGCAGUGCCUAAAACCACAUUAGCAACAAGCAUUGAUAAAUUCUUGCAGUGAAGCAUGUGGAUGGAUCACUCUCUUUUAUUUCUCUAUGUGUAUUUGGACUUAACUUAUCUACUACUCCUUCUCAUUUAGACAUGUAUAAUGAUAAUAAUAUAAUGUUGGGUUUAAGAAAUCGUGUUUAUGAUGGUGACUUUAUCUACACGGUUUGAGUUGUUGUCGGAGUCAACAAACUAAUCCUAUUAUUUAAUUUCCAUGCUUGGCAAGCUAAGUCAUUUUCUUGUUCGGAUCAAAUAGUAUGGUUGCUACCCCCAAUUUUCUUGACAAAUCUCAAAACUUCAGGAUCAUCUCUUUUCUUCCUCUCGCAUCUACUGGAUUUCAAAACGUUUUAAGGUAGUCUUUGGGAGUUUCAUGUUUAAAAAGCUUAUGGUAGUAUUUGUCAACGUCUAUGAUCUAAUCUCUGGAUCUUGUUUAUAAUAAACAUGUGCUUGUCAAAUCUUAUCAUCAUGUCUCUUGGUUUCUUACAGAGAUUAAAUCUUACUUGGAUAUGGCCUUGGGAUCUGCUGUUUCACCAAAUGGUUCACAACCAAUUCUCUUGAGUGUUUCACCGCCUUACAGAAGAAGACCUAGCCGGCGAAAGACAGAAACUUCGAAGGAUGGUAUCAAAACUCUCAGGUGGACUGCAACAAUUGUAGCAACUCUGACGUUUGUUAUAUAUUACAUAUGUACAAAGCUUUACAUCAGUUCUGCUCCAGAUUUAAGCAUCGCAGGUUUUAUCAAAACAGCAGUGUUCGCGGUUUGUAUGCUGUGCAACACCGUUCCAAUGAUUUUUUUCUGUUGAAGCUAUAGUUCAUCUUACCCGGCCAGAACGUCCGAGUGGUUUUGGUUUCAAAGUUGAAGCUAAGAUAGGAGCCUUUGCACUUGUAACAGUUAGUUUUGUGUCUAUAUUGGUUGCUUUUAUGGUCGGAGUUUGUCUUGUGGUGAUCCUUCGUAUAUGGCAUUACUUCUUCUAUGUUUAAGCACAUUAGUGAUUGGUUUUGUAAACAGUUUCCAUGAUUAGACACAUUCAAUGAAUAAAAGGAUAGCCAUGAUCCAAUGAGGACCAAAUUGUCAUCAACUUAAAUUUAGUGGGUCAUUUCAUAAUUUUGAAUAGUUUCUAAAGUCGAAGUCGUCGCCGUUGCAAAAAGAAAAACAAUCAACUACUAGGGAUAUUAAAACUGGUAUGUCCUGCACGUUUAUGUCCGUUAAGAGCAUGUUUACAUUUUUUUAAAAAUUGCUUGCUCCGUAUUUCUCAGUUAAGAAUUACUCAAGUCUCCCAGCAAUCUGUCAAAUGUAUCAGCUAAAAUACAAUAGUCCAUAAACUUAACAUUGCUUAAUCAAGUCAACGAACUAAACCUAUUAUUCAAUUUCCUUCCUUGGCAAGCUAAAGCAUCUCUGGUGAUUGGUACGCACAUUCAGAGUUUUUUCUUUCUUAUUUGAUCAAGUCAAUUUGCUUGGAAAAUUUCAUAACUGCAUCAUCGACUAGCUUUUAAAACGUCUGAGGUAAUCUUCAUCAUCAUCUUUUUGUAUUUGUCGACGUCUAUGAUCUAACUUUUGAAUCUGGCUUUUAGAAACAUGUGCUUGUCAUCAGAUCUUAUCAUCAUGUCUCUUGAUUUCUUACAGAGAUUUAAUCAACUUGGAUAUGGCCUUGGUGGGUGGUAUCAAAACUCUCAAGUGGACUGUAAAAAUUGUGUUAACUUUGACAAUUGUUAUAUAUUACACAUGUACUAAGCUUUACAUCAGUUCUGCUCCAGGUUUAAGCAUCACAGGUUUUGUCAAAACAGCAGUGUUCAUGGUUUGUAUAUUGAGCAACACCGUUCUAAUGUUUUUUUCUCCAUGAUCUUCGUUAAGGGAGAGAAGAAGGAUACGAUCAUCGGUGCAGUGCCUAAAACCACAUUAGCAACAAGCAUUGAUAAAUUCUUGCAGUGAAGCAUGUGGAUGGAUCACUCUCUUUUAUUUCUCUAUGUGUAUUUGGACUUAACUUAUCUACUACUCCUUCUCAUUUAGACAUGUAUAAUGAUAAUAAUAUAAUGUUGGGUUUAAGAAAUCGUGUUUAUGAUGGUGACUUUAUCUACACGGUUUGAGUUGUUGUCGGAGUCAACAAACUAAUCCUAUUAUUUAAUUUCCAUGCUUGGCAAGCUAAGUCAUUUUCUUGUUCGGAUCAAAUAGUAUGGUUGCUACCCCCAAUUUUCUUGACAAAUCUCAAAACUUCAGGAUCAUCUCUUUUCUUCCUCUCGCAUCUACUGGAUUUCAAAACGUUUUAAGGUAGUCUUUGGGAGUUUCAUGUUUAAAAAGCUUAUGGUAGUAUUUGUCAACGUCUAUGAUCUAAUCUCUGGAUCUUGUUUAUAAUAAACAUGUGCUUGUCAAAUCUUAUCAUCAUGUCUCUUGGUUUCUUACAGAGAUUAAAUCUUACUUGGAUAUGGCCUUGGGAUCUGCUGUUUCACCAAAUGGUUCACAACCAAUUCUCUUGAGUGUUUCACCGCCUUACAGAAGAAGACCUAGCCGGCGAAAGACAGAAACUUCGAAGGAUGGUAUCAAAACUCUCAGGUGGACUGCAACAAUUGUAGCAACUCUGACGUUUGUUAUAUAUUACAUAUGUACAAAGCUUUACAUCAGUUCUGCUCCAGAUUUAAGCAUCGCAGGUUUUAUCAAAACAGCAGUGUUCGCGGUUUGUAUGCUGUGCAACACCGUUCCAAUGAUUUUUUUCUGUUGAAGCUAUAGUUCAUCUUACCCGGCCAGAACGUCCGAGUGGUUUUGGUUUCAAAGUUGAAGCUAAGAUAGGAGCCUUUGCACUUGUAACAGUUAGUUUUGUGUCUAUAUUGGUUGCUUUUAUGGUCGGAGUUUGUCUUGUGGUGAUCCUUCGUAUAUGGCAUUACUUCUUCUAUGUUUAAGCACAUUAGUGAUUGGUUUUGUAAACAGUUUCCAUGAUUAGACACAUUCAAUGAAUAAAAGGAUAGCCAUGAUCCAAUGAGGACCAAAUUGUCAUCAACUUAAAUUUAGUGGGUCAUUUCAUAAUUUUGAAUAGUUUCUAAAGUCGAAGUCGUCGCCGUUGCAAAAAGAAAAACAAUCAACUACUAGGGAUAUUAAAACUGGUAUGUCCUGCACGUUUAUGUCCGUUAAGAGCAUGUUUACAUUUUUUUAAAAAUUGCUUGCUCCGUAUUUCUCAGUUAAGAAUUACUCAAGUCUCCCAGCAAUCUGUCAAAUGUAUCAGCUAAAAUACAAUAGUCCAUAAACUUAACAUUGCUUAAUCAAGUCAACGAACUAAACCUAUUAUUCAAUUUCCUUCCUUGGCAAGCUAAAGCAUCUCUGGUGAUUGGUACGCACAUUCAGAGUUUUUUCUUUCUUAUUUGAUCAAGUCAAUUUGCUUGGAAAAUUUCAUAACUGCAUCAUCGACUAGCUUUUAAAACGUCUGAGGUAAUCUUCAUCAUCAUCUUUUUGUAUUUGUCGACGUCUAUGAUCUAACUUUUGAAUCUGGCUUUUAGAAACAUGUGCUUGUCAUCAGAUCUUAUCAUCAUGUCUCUUGAUUUCUUACAGAGAUUUAAUCAACUUGGAUAUGGCCUUGGUGGGUGGUAUCAAAACUCUCAAGUGGACUGUAAAAAUUGUGUUAACUUUGACAAUUGUUAUAUAUUACACAUGUACUAAGCUUUACAUCAGUUCUGCUCCAGGUUUAAGCAUCACAGGUUUUGUCAAAACAGCAGUGUUCAUGGUUUGUAUAUUGAGCAACACCGUUCUAAUGUUUUUUUCUCUUGGCAAAAUAAUUUUUCUUAUCUGGCCAGAACAUCCGGAUGAUCUUGUUUUGAGAGUUGAAGCUAAGCACAUAAAAGCCUUAGCACUUGUCACAGUUACAUUUCUAUCUUUGUUGGUUGCUUCUAGGGUCGGAGUUUGACUUGUGUUGAUCCUUCCUAUAUGGCAUUCCUUCUUCUAUGUUUAGACAUAAGUGACUGUUUCUGAUUUGUAAUACUCAUAUGUUUGGUUUUGUAAACAGUUUCCAUGAUUACACAUUCAAACGAAUAAAUAUUGGCAAAAGAUCAUUACCAUAAUCUAUUGCCAAUCCACAUUUGUCUAGAUAAUUGUUUCUGAUUUAUAACUGUUUCUCUAAUUAAUAAUUAUAUGAAUAAAGCCAUGUUUCCAAUGAGGAGUAAAUUGUCAUCAACUUAAAUUUAGUGGGUCAUUUCAUAAUUUCGAAUAGUUUCAAACAAAUAUAAAAAGACGAGACCUUCUUGCAUGAUCGAUCGAUCCACUGUAUACGAGAGGAUCAAACAUCAACAUCGAAAGAUCGAAUCUUUCUACAAUGGAGAAAGGAGUUCCGGUAGAACUAACUAGAGGGUCUGCUAACUGGGCCAGAGUGGUGGAAGAGAUCGUGAAGCUGGAGAAGAAAACGUUCCCUAAACACGAAUCUCUCGCUCAAACAUUCGACGGAGAGCUCCGCAAGAGAAACGCCGGUUUGCUAUACGUGUCAUCCGACGGAGAGACUUUGGGAUAUGUCAUGUAUGCUUGGCCGUCUUCUCUCUCCGCUUCCAUCACCAAGCUCGCAGGUAUUAGACACAUGUCCACCAACUGUUCGAUGAAAUUACGCAAUGAUGAGCUCGUGGAUAAAAAAAAUUACAACUUAUAGUGAAAUCCUGUUUUAACUGUUUGAUAAAAUAACUUUUAGAAUAUAUUAUAUUGUUAAGAAGACAAGAACACAUACUUAUCAGACAAGCUAAGAGCUAUUACAAUCAGAAAGAAUGUAUUUCAAGAGUACUUUUCAGCGUGUGUUUUUUUUUGUUGGAGUAUGCAGUGAAGGAGAGUUGCAGGAGACAAGGCCAUGGAGAAGCAUUGCUAAGAGCAGCUAUUGACAAGUGCAGAAGCAGAAAGGUACAACGGGUCUCACUUCAUGUCGACCCCACGAGGAUUGCUGCUGUGAAUCUGUACAAAAAACAUGGGUUCCAAGUAGAUUGUCUGGUGAAAAGCUACUACUCGGCAGAUAGGGAUGCUUACAGAAUGUACCUUGAUUUUGAUGACUCUGUUUAGCCAGAAAGAUUUAUUGGGGAUUAUCAAAUCCAUGGUGAAACAUUUGUUUGGAUAGUGAAUCAAUUUUCUUGUACACACUCGUUAAUUACUCUCCACAUCAAUAUACUAAACUAUUUAUUUGCUGUCUACAAUACAUAAUGGAUUUUUUGGGUGCCCAUUAAAACUUUUUUAUGUAAUUUACACUAGCUUUUUGACCAGCGCUAUUUUAUGAUAAAUUUUUUAUUAAUAACUUAACAAAUAUUUUGUUAACUUAUAACAAUUUUGUCUAUUUAAAUCAAUGUUUUUAAAUUCGACCCGAAUCCGCGGUCAAAUCAAUUAAUCUGGUGAUCCGAUAAUUUAUAUUGUCUGAUAAUUAUUCCUUUCUAUGAGCAGAUCAAAAAUGAUAUUUCUAUUUUAUAGCUAAACAGAUUUAUAUUUCUUUCUUCGUAAAAGUUCAAUCUAAAAAAAACUUUCAAAUACCAUGUAUUAAGAUGGCAUUUCUAUUUACUGGUUUUCAACUACAAAUUUUUAACAGAUAAAUUAUAAUAUCUAGAUAUAUUUUAAAUGAAAUUUUUAUUUUCCAAUAAGGGUGGAUUUGACAGAAUUUUCAUAAAUCAUUGAUACAAUAAAGAAGGAUUUAGAACAACUUUUACAAAUACUAGAUUCAAUAAAGUGAGAUUUAGAAAAAAAAAAAUGAAAUUCCUCCAAAUCAUCAAUCCAAUAAGCCACUCUUUGAUCUGGUUUUAUGCUUUUUGAAAAUAAAAAAAGGUCCCACCGAGACUUGAACUCGGGUUACUAGAUUCAGAGUCUAGUGUCCUAACCGCUAGACCAUGGGACCAUUUGUUAACCAAUACUCCAAAUAGUUUUACAAACCAAAAUACAAUGCUCGAGUAUUAUAUGACGAGUGUCACUGGCCCGGAAGCUCUUUUGUGGUGUUACCGUUAUGAAUCAUCUACAUAACUCUUCACAAAGCUUUCUGAUGGGAUUACUGAGAGAGGAAGUAGUGCCUGGGAGGAUUUGUACUGUUAUAUCAAUGCUUUUGAGGAAAAUUGGACAAGCAGAUUUGGCUAUGAAGCUGAUGCAUAGCAAGACUGGGAUUGGUUAUGAGAGGAUGGGUGGUGUCAAGUUUAGAACUUUACUUCAAAGCUUUGUUACUCACUAUUAAAAGAGUUAUACAGUUCAGUCUUUGGUGUGUAUUUGCUUUGUUUGUAACAAAAGAAGCACAAGUUUAUUCCAAUUGAAGUCUUACAAAACCGGAUAAUUUUAGUAAACCGGACCAAAUUUAGAAACUUUUCUGUUGAAAAUGUGCUGAAUACAAAAGGAAGAGAGCACCAUUCAUUUAAAAUGCCUUGAAUUUCUCUGGCGCGCACAUGUGCCAUUAGUUUUGUUAUCUCUCUCUCUCUCUGACUACAAAGAAACCAUUCGUUGAAACCAUUUUCUCAAGCAUUCUUGAUUCCUGUCAAAAUACAAACACACGAAAUGGCACGACAAGAUGCUAAUCCAUUUGCUGAUGAAGAAACCAAUCCUUUUGCGGUAAUGAGCUCUUUGUUUCCUUGAAAUCAAGAAUCAAAUCACUGGUGUUUUCUUCUGUAGUUCUUUUACCCGUUUGAUCUUGAUGUUUUAGGAUAAUACAAGUGUUCCUCGAGCAAGCAACUCCUCCUAUCUCAAGCCGCUUCCACCUGAACCUCAUGAUCGUGGUGCUACCAUCGAUAUCCCUUUGGAUUCCGAAAAGGUAUCUUCAAUAUCUUCUCCAUUUUUUCCUUUCAAUGUUUGCUCAAAAUCUGGUUUCUGUUUGAAGGAUCUUCGAGCUAAAGAGAUGGAGCUUCAGGCUAAGGAGAACGAGUUGAACCGGAAAGAGCAGGUAAGUCUAGCUUCCAUGUUACCCUACAGUUUCCAUGUGAAUUGUAUUGAUCAGUCUUCUUCUUGUUCUUGUCAUCAUGCAGGAGCUGAAAAGAAGAGAAGAUGCAAUAGCCAAAAGUUAGAUAAUCUUCCAUUGAUACUUAUUAAGAUUUUUUAUUGUAGCUAACUGAUACGGUUUUUUUUUGGCAGCUGGAGUUGUAAUUGAGGAGAAGAACUGGCCAGAUUUUUUCCCUCUAAUUCACCAUGACAUCCCUAACGAGAUUCCAAUACACUUACAGAAGAUUCAAUAUGUCGCAUUCACCACAUUAUUAGGUAACGCAAAGGCCACCCUUAGACCGCUGCAACAAAUCCUUGCACCUGUCCAGAGUCAAGUCAAAAGUUAAAACAGACUAAAAUUAUUGAACUAUGCAGGAUUAGUAGGAUGUCUCUUGUGGAAUAUUGUGGCAGUAACUGUAGCUUGGAUCAAAGGAGGAGGUUAUUUACUGUUUUUACUCGAAAUGAUCAGAUUCAUAUUGAUCCUUUUCACUCAUCUCUGAUUCUGAUUGUUAUCAGGUCCCACUAUAUGGCUUAUGUCAAUCAUCUACUUCAUUGCUGGGGUCCCUGGGGCUUACGUCUUGUGGUAUCGUCCUCUUUACCGAGCUUCCAGGUAAAAAUCAGCUCUAUAAGUAAAACAAUCUCUUACAUAUUAAAUGAGUGUCAAUAAUACAAAUGUGUACAUGUACCUGUGCAGAACUGAUAGUGCCCUGAAGUUCGGAACUUUCUUUGUGUUUUACGUGGUAAGAUAAACCGUAUCCCCAUUGGUAGAUUUCCUCUGCAUCAGAGUUCUUUCAGAAAGCCAUGAAAAAACAAAACCACUAUGUUUACACUGUCUUGUACUUUUCAGUUUCACAUUGCAUUCUGUGGCUUUGCUGCAGUUGCUCCACCAGUCAUCUUUCAAGGAAAAUCUCUCACGUAAGAGUUUUCUUCUUAUAUGAAAAGCAUUUGUUACAACCUCUCCAUUACACUCUUUACUCAAUUGUCUUACAACCUCUCUGAGGGAGUCCAUCUGAUUCCAUGUAUUGUUUGGUUUGGUGGACAGAGGUUUCUUGCCAGCACUUGAGCUUCUAACUACUAAUGCGGCGGUCGGAGUAAGUAUUUUACUUCUGUUCAUUUACAAGUGCUUACCUUACCAAUAUGUUUUCUCCCUCAUAGAUAUUGUAUUUCAUUGGGGCGGGGUUCUUCUGCAUCGAAACACUUCUCAAUAUCUGGGUGAUUCAGCAAGUAUAUGCCUACUUCCGAGGGAGCGGCAAAGCUGCACAGAUGAAACGCGAAGCUGCAACUUCGACCUUGAUGCGUGCGCUAUGAAAGGCAAACACUCUUCACUUUAGAAUGUAUCAACGGUGGCUUGAGGUCUAGGCUGACAAUUUUUUUUUUUGUUGGAAUUACUUUGUAAAGACUAAAUCAAGUAGUACAUGGGGAGAUCUCAAGCCGAAACUGUGUUGUUCAAUUGUCUAAUGAGAGUCAAUCCAGCUCUGUGCAAUAGUUUUUGCUACUCCUCUCUUCUCACCAUUAACCUACGAACCUUGAGUGCAUCACCAUGGCGACCUAUCCACUUGUACAUGUUACUUAGAAGUUGUCCUUUCUGACAGUAUCCUCCAAGUAAGGCAGACCAAGAUACCGUGUUCUUCUUAGACAUCCCAUUGAACACUUGCCUAGCUUCCCCCGAUCCGCAUUUACCAUACAUAUCCAAAAGACUACUCUCCACAACAAUCACCCGUUUUGUGAAAGUGUGUUACUAUAUAAUACUUUUCUGGUGGUGUAGAAAUAUAUAGUUUACCGAAAAAGGUUUAACUAAUUUCUGGAAAAACAAAUCAGACCUUUUUGUCCGAAAAUAUUGGGUUUCUCUAGGCCGAAUAUGUAAGUGAAGUGGCAUUUAUAUUGGGUUCAAAGUAGAAGCCCAAUUAGUAACUUUGAUAACCAAAAAAAACCCUCGCCGUUGCCGGGGAUCGAACCCGGGUCACCCGCGUGACAGGCGGGAAUACUUACCACUAUACUACAACGACUUUGUUGUUAGCAGCAUUAGAAAGAGCAUUAGGAAACCUCUGUUCAGACGUUAAAGCGAAGCGUUGUUAAUGGCGUUUCUUAACAAAACAAAUCAGACCUUUUUGUCCGAAAAUAUUGGGCUUCUCUAGGCCAAUAUACUUACCACUAUACUACAACGACUUUGUUGUUAGCAGCAAUACAAAGAGCAAUAGAAAACCUUUAUUCAGACGUUAAUAAGGCCAAACGUUGUUAAUGGCGUUUCUUAUAGAGGGGAUGCCCUUAACGCACACCCAGAAAGAAAAAGGGUCACAUUUUGGGCCUAUAAAACCAAAUUCCUUAUAUCUGAUAUUGGAUCAGAUUAGAUAAAUGGAUUAGUUGAGUUGGACAAUGGUUUUGAAAUUAAGCGGAUUGAUUAAACCGCGGUUAAAAAGGCGUUUCUGGUCUGGUUACAUAAAUGGAUUAGUUGAGUUGGACAAUGGUUUUGAAAUUAAAACAAGGGACUGUGUUAUUUAAACAGUGGGAGAAAGAGGAACCGGUCAGCAUCAGUGGACGACGACUACGACUUUCUUAUCAUCAUUAAAGAUCUCUCUCCAUCCUUCUUCUCCAACAUCGAAAAAUGGCUUCUCACUCUUCUACUACUCUCUUCACUUCUUCUCCUACAUUUGCUCCCUUCUCCUCUCACCAAAUUCUCCCACCCAGUCUCUCUACCGUCCGUUUCUCCCGACCAAUCAAUACCAAACCCAAUCAUCACUCCCUCCGUUGUUCCGUCUCGAUCGAGAAAGAAGUCCCCGAGACAGAACGACCCUUCACAUUCCUCAGAGAUUCCACUCACUCUUCUUCAGUCAGGGCUCGUUUCGAAGCCAUGAUUAGAGCUGCUCAAGACAGCGUCUGCGAGGCCAUCGAAGCCGUCGAAUCCGGUCCGAAGUUCAAAGAAGAUGUCUGGUCUCGACCCGGCGGAGGCGGAGGGAUCAGCCGCGUGUUGCAGGAUGGGAAUGUGUUCGAGAAAGCUGGGGUUAAUGUCUCUGUUGUGUAUGGUGUUAUGCCUCCUGAAGCUUAUAGGGCUGCUAAAGGCUCUGCUUCUUCUGAUCAGAAACCUGGUCCUGUUCCCUUCUUCGCCGCCGGUGUCAGCUCGGUAACACCAUCUCUCUCUCUCUCUUUAUCAAUCUCUCUCUAGUUUACAGAAAGGUCAAGUCUUUAUGUGAUUCUUGUAGGUCUUGCAUCCCAAGAACCCUUUUGCCCCAACUCUGCAUUUCAACUAUCGAUACUUCGAGACUGAUGCUCCAAAGGGUAAGUGUAAAAAGUGUAAAAGUUACAGUCUUUUUUUUUUUUUUGGAUAGUAGAUUAGUAGUAUUGAUUUUUUUUGUCAAUGUGCAGAUGUUCCUGGAGCUCCGAGGCAGUGGUGGUUUGGUGGUGGAACUGACUUCACGCCAGCUUACAUCUUUGAAGACGAUGUCAAGCAUUUCCACACGGUCUGAGACCUUAUUCCUUUCUUGAGCUUUGUGAUUUGAUGGAGUUUUUGCUCUUAUUAUUAUAAAGCUUGUAUCUUUCUUUGUUGUUAGAUUCAAAAGCAAGCGUGUGACAAGUUUGACCCUUCCUUCUAUCCUCGGUUCAAGAAAUGGUGUGAUGACUACUUUUACAUCAAGGUAAUGUCUAGGAACAGCGCAGAGACUAAGAGUCUUUUUUUCAUAAGCCUGUUGUAUUGUGUUUAAGGACGCUUUGAUCUUUUGCUUGCAGCACCGUGAUGAGAGACGAGGACUUGGAGGGAUAUUCUUUGAUGAUCUUAAUGACUAUGAUCAGGAAAUGCUUCUGAAAUUCUCCACUGGUAAAUGACUAAUUCUUCAAAAUAUUAUGAUGUUAGUGUGUUCUUGGUAGACUAAUUUUUAAGUUGAUUUUGGGAUUUUCACAGAAUGUGCGAACUCGGUUGUACCGGCUUAUAUACCUAUAGUAGAGAAAAGAAAAGACAUGGAAUUUACAGAGAAGCACAAGGCAUGGCAACAGUUGAGGAGAGGGAGAUAUGUUGAAUUCAACUUGGUAUUAUAAUAACAUCCACUAGCUUUUAUGAGCCUUGGUACUUUGUUAGUGAGCCUCUAAUGUGUGUCUUGUAUUGAUUUUGAAAGGUAUAUGAUCGUGGGACGACGUUUGGUCUAAAGACAGGAGGGAGAAUAGAGAGCAUUCUUGUCUCUCUUCCACUGUCAGCAAGAUGGGAAUAUGACCAUGUAAGUUCCUUUUCCCAUUUGUGAAAGACACACUAAGUCCUAAAUCAUAACUCAUUAGGCUAUAUAUUACAAGUGUAGUAGUAACUGUGUUUUGUUGGGUGUAGAAACCGGAAGAGGGGACAGAGGAGUGGAAGCUAUUGGAUGCGUGUAUCAACCCCAAGGAGUGGAUAUAGCUUGUGGUGAGGGCUUGAGUGAGUUUGUUUUCAUUGUUUUGAGUUUUGAGCAGCUUUAGAGAGAUUAGAGUAAUGAAGAGAUGGAUAAAGGGAGAGUUUGUAAGGUGACUGUGUAUGUGAAACAUGCGUUUGAAACGCUGUCGUUAUGUUUUAUAGAAUCCAAGCUUAAGACAACCAUGGUUUAUAAGCGUAUGAAUCACUAAGAAAAGAUGACACCAUCACUAGAAUACGAAAGAGAACAAUAAAAAAGCGAUUAAGAUAUAAAUACUGAUUAAGAGCCUUUGAUCCUAAACACUUGCUGCAAGCUUCACAUCUUCCACUGUCUAGGAUCAUGGUCUUGUAAAACUCAUAUGAAUAUGGAUAAGUACAUCAAUCUAUAAUUAGUGCAAAAUUUAAACACCAUUAAACGUGAUAGGCGUUUAAAGCCAAGAUUAACUAGCAUUAUUAUUUUUCUUCAUUGUUUUUGUUCCUAUUAUUCACACUAUAAGCAUGGAAAGUUGAAUCCUGUUUUGCCAUAUUCCUACUUAACAUCAGAAACAACUAUUCACAGCAUGGAUUAAUUACCAUUAACAUCCUUACAAACUUGUUGAAAAAGAGAAAAACAGGAUUCAGUUUUCUUACAUUCAUCAAGUUUUAUUUUACUUAAUUGUUUAUGUUUUUUUUUUUCCCAAAUUGAAAUUCAUUCAUAACUGAAGUACGACAGUUCAAUACAUAAGCUGGCGGAUACAAAACAUCCCCAGAGAUAAGAGCCCAAAGAACAGGCAGCUAGAACCCACACCGGAGUAACUUUUGAACACCAACUUAACAAGCAAAAUAACAAUACAUAACUACACAAAAGUAUGCAACAAACAGUGCAAAAGACCUCCAAGCUAAAUAGCAGGUAACGAGAAUCUGGAUAUAUCGAUGCUGCACUUGGCACGCCACACGAUACCAUCCACUUGUAGAACCCGAAGACCCCAUCGCGCCUUCUCAACCCGGAUCUAUCGCUGCCGCCUAUGGCCUGCCAAACGAUACCAUCCCCACUCGUAACUCAGAACCAAGACUUCAUAACCCAACUAGAGAGAUCGCUUCACAAUCCAAACAUCUCUCGGAUACGGCUUGAACGCACUCUUUGACGCCCACUUUUGCAUCUAGAUAGAAGUCCAACAAAACCUCCACACAACCAAGCUUCGCCGCUCACAUCUGAAAACCAGAAUAAACAAUAACACACCAAAACGACGAAAGAUUCUUGCAACCACCAUAACCCGGAGAUAAUUUUGCAACUGAAUAUGUCGCUGCACUAACCACCGAUAGACUCCAAGAACCAACACCAUGAAACACGCAUGACAAUACCAUGAAACACGCAGGAGGAACCAACAGGUACACCACAGCUAAGAUAAUCUGCCUACCAGAAACUCCAUAAACAAAACCAUAACUAAGAGAAAUAGAAAAAGAUCCAGAAGCUGUCCACAUCGGAAUCGUCACCGAGCUGUCGCGAGACCACCAAUAAUAGAUGAGAGGAAGAAGCACAAACACCAACUGUUGCCGGUGCUGGUUCGCAGUGACAGACGAUCUCGAGAAACAAGGGCACACACCACCGUCUGAGAGAGAAGGGCGAGAAGCUUCCCAACCCAAAGAUAGGUAUGAGAAGAAGCUACGGUGGGAGCUCCGACGAAACUCAUCCACCGUCUUUCUCUUCACCCUGCCGCCAUGGAUCUGUAAGAUAUAUCCACAUCUAGUCCAACAACUAGAUCCGGAGGCUAUAUGUCUAGCCGGAUAUAUGAGCCCUCUCCGAAAGUAGAACUGAAGAGAAAAUCGCUUCGUUAACCAUAGCCGACCCCUCCUUACCCUCACCUAAACAAAAUCUCAUUUUUUCACCAGAUCUAACAUCUGAGAAGCGGAUCCACACCAAAUUCAAAUCCAGAGAAAAAGAUAUAUCGAUUCAUGAUGAGAGAAGCAAGGAGAGGCAAAACGAAAGAGGAAACUAGGGGUUCCGGCACCGGCGCUACUCGCCACCACCGGAAAAGCAAGGGUCGUAGAGGUUGUCUGCAAGGUGAAAAGAUGAGCAUAAUUGUUUAUGUUUCU
rnacentral:lncRNA from 1 species